rnacentral:misc_RNA from 1 species
UUUGGUAUCUAUCCAAAAUAUAUUAUGAUGAUAUUGCAUGAUAGACAAGGAAGCUCAAGCAGACACAUUUCAAAACAUUGCAAGAUAACAUGUCAGAUUUCUUUGGUUCUGAGAAAGAGAAAACUCUCUUAUACUUGCAAUAAAAAUCUAGCCUAUAAAUACAUCACUUAUAGGACUCAUCCCUUCUAAGAUCCAAUUAUAUGCAUGACCUCUAAUGUUAAUGUAAUUUGCCACGCAAUUUUUGUUUGUUUAGAAGAAAUUCUGAAGCAAAGCAAGCAUUGAAGAAUUCUUAUUUUAAAACCCUAGUAAGAGAUCAACCUUGUCACAGACUGAAGGCCGUCAAAGCUGGAUAAAUGAAGUAGAUUUGCUGCAAUUAACAAAGUUUAAGUUUGUUACUAGCAUGAUAAGAAUUUAUAUCUGCAUAUAGGACAUCAUGCAAAGCAUCAAAAACAGAAAACUAUAUGAUGCUGCAUAUGAUACUUAUCAUAAAUAAUAUGGCACUUGAUACCAAUGUUAAUGCUUUGCAGUUUGCAGCAAUCAAAAGGCAAGUAAUAUUCAACAGCAGAAGAGAUCAUUCUGAAGAAUACAGCUGCUUUUACCAUAUGAAAGCAUAUAAAGGUUUCAUUCUGGUAAUGGAAUACCAGUUAAGUAAAAACUGAAUAGGGAGAGUCUCUUCUCUUUCAUAAUCCAUUAUUAAACUGAAAUUCAAAUAUUCCAAAGGUUCAGCCAUAAAGGGGAAAUGUGAAGAGUAGCACUGUGCACAAAAGCAAUUUCUUCUCUUGGCACAAUAUCAACAGCAUAUUUCAGACUGAAGAAAACCUUGAAAAUAUCAAGUCUCUUUAAAAAAUCACAGAUAUUUGCUUGCUACACUACCAUUGGCUCUAACCAGAGCCAAGUUCUGCGAAGUACAGACAUUGACAACUGUGAUCCACUACCAAUAUGUCAUGUGGAGCUCAAGAGAGAAGACUUCAAUCUAAUAUCAAUUACCACCCCAGCCUUGAGAAAAGGGAAACUGAAGUCCUCUGUCAUGCAUCUUCAUAGGCAACAAUUCAUUGCAAGGGGGGAAAGAAAUAAAGAAAAGCAAAAGAAAACAUAAAGCAAAAGAAAACAUAAGCAUCAGUAGACAAGGUAACUAAACUAGACCCUUGCAAUCCUGAGUUUCCACCAAAAAAGAGAAGGAACCAUGUUGAUGCCAUUGCAAAGUUUUCUCAGCACCAUUUAAAGGUGAUUAUGAAUAGAAUCUGCCAUGAUGAUAUAACAGUUAUUCAUUCAUUUAUUUAUUUUUAAGUGGAGAUGAUAUAACAGUUAUUGAAAGGCUGUUCAAAUACUUAAUGAAAUCAAGUUAGUUCAUUGUUCUUAUCCAGAAGCAGCAUGCAAUUUUAUGGCUUGCUAUUUCUUAAUUAUGACUGCACUCUCUUGACCAAAAAGUUCUAUAUUGUCUUCAAUUGACAAGCAUGCUUUGCAUUAAAUAGAAAUAUUUAACAUAACUUUAAUAGUGAAUAAUUGUUUGGCAUUGUGAUUAAAGUUUAAGGCAAACUUCCAACAAGCAUAUUGGUAAAUCUGAUAAAUAAAAACAUGUACAUGAAAUAUCUAGAAUAAGCAUUCUGAUAUGUUGAUAUGUAUCAUAAAAUGGCGAAGGGAGAAGGAUCAAACAAUCCAAAAUGUGAUCAAGUGAUAUUGCUCCUCAAAUUUCAUACUUGUAAUGUAACCAACUAAUGAUAAGAAUACGGAAAGACAUGCCAGGACCAAUUGCAUUGACAAGUAUGAAAUGAUAAAAAUUAAGGCCUGCAAUAGGCAAAAAUCAACCUCUGUCUUCCCGAUUAGUGGAGACACCUUGAAUGGCAGUAAAAAUCUCUGGAUUGAAGAUGUAGACACCACAGUUUAUCAAAUCACUUACAAAAGUCUCUGGUUUCUCUAUAUAAUGCAACAGCUCUUUGGUGGUUGGAUCAGCAACCAAUUCACCAAAUUGGUUGGCUGAUUCAGCAGAAACCUUUAUUACUAACAUUGUUCCCAUCCCACCAUAUUUUUUAUGUGCCUCUGAAAAAUUGCAAAACAAACCCAGAAGUGAAUAAAAUAAUAAAUUACCAAUAUCCCAUAUAAAAUAUUGAAGAAGUUGUGGUGUGGCCACAUUAUUUAGAGAAAGCACAAUCAUAACCAUAAACACUCAUAUAAAGUGAAAAACUUACGAAGCAUAUCUGGCAAUGGAAAACUACAGCAAACAUCACAAUUCAGUAGAAAGAUAUGUGACUGCCAGCAAAAUUGAAUGCAAUAAAUAUGAGAUAUCACAUAGAAAAACACCAAAACAAAUUUAAUGAAUUUUCCUUGAGUUGAGCACCACAAAAAAAGUUAGCAUUCUUAAAAUCAUACGCAAAAAAGGCAAACAAAAACCAUACUAAAAAAUCAAAAAGUGCAAAGAUCAAACCGGACUGUCUUCCAUGAUUAUGUCUCUAAAAUAAUAAAGACCACCAGCAGAACCAUGCGGUUUGUCCUCCUUCAAGUAUCUUACGGGUACCUUGAGUUCAUUAGAGAUUGAAGAGACAUAUAAAGUAAAUUCCCGCUCCUCAUAGAAUCCAAUUAAAAAAAUCCGAGCCAAAUUUGGUAUCCUUCUACAAGCAGAAAUAUGAUGGUGAACCAUAGGCUGCCCGGCCAAUGGGAACAGUGGUUUUGGAGUAUUGAAUGAAAGAGGCCUAAAUCUAGUACCUUUGGUGGGUCCACCGACCAUGAUCACAGCAACCACCUCCUCCUCAGAAUCCGCCAUUGCAAAAACCCUGACUGAGACCCAAAGACCUAACUCGAGAGGAGGGUUUUUUGUGACUGGAAAGUGGGAUCAGAGAGAAGUUGGUGGCUGCAUAGAAUUUAACCCAGGAGAGGCAGAGAGGG